ACCGCGUCCCUCAGUGCCGCAUCUACACUUGAACUCCUCCAGGGAUGGUGACUCCACCGCCUCCCUGGGCAGCCCGUUCCAGUGCCCGCCUGACCGUUCUUUCGGCUCCCUUUGUUGUGAGUUACCUUUUUAAUAUCAUCAUCCUCUCCGUCACUUUCUUGGCGUGAUUCUCUUCUGGUCCGACGCUCUCCACCCAGCCUGAGGAAUAAAAAGCAUUACUGGCCACUGGAGAACAUGCAUUAACAACAGCAUCUACACAAGUCAGCAUAUAUAGUCAUCAGAAUCAACAAUCCCCAUAAACCGUUGAUCAGAAGAGUGGCAAGAGAUAAAUUUUUUAAUGUAGCAGGUGAGAAAAGUGAUUUAAGUUUUAAUAUAACUUUGGUAUUAAAGUAAAAAUGAUGAACCCACA